rnacentral:tRNA from 1 species
GACAGUGUGGUGUAGUGGUUUGAGCAUUGGACUAUGACUCUGGAGUUCAGGGUUCAAUUCCCCACUUGGCCA